ACAAAAUCAAAGUAACCGCAUUAACUUUCCCCCCUCAUACACAUAGUCUCCCCACCGCUGAGGGAGAAUGUAUUAGUGCUGCCUCAUUUGCACUGCCUCAGAGCAGGGAUUUCAUGUGAGACGUGUGUAUCAGUGCAGCAACCCUCCCGGGAAGAACGAAAGGACUUCACUCUGACAGAAAUCUGUGUCAUUUAGAACAAUCCUUCAUAAAACCGGCAAGAAAAGAAUUCCUCGAGUGAAAAAUGAGAAGCUAAUUGAGUCUCAUAUUUCAGUUGUGUCUUAAUUUCCACCGAACGGUGCCUCAUUUCACCUUUUUAAUGGGGCUUAUGUAUUAUAAAGUGUGCGUGGGGGUGUCAUUUUGUGCUAAGCGGGAUGCGAGGUUAGCAUUUCAGGGCUUGGAAGCUUGCAGAGAUGCGUUCUCGGUUGUUUUUCGAAGCUGAAUCUACUGCAACAAAGCAGGGCGGAUGAGAUGAGUUCUGUUAUGAAACAGUAUAUUAGAUGUGUUUUCAGCUCCCAGAAUGCUUCUGUGACAGCCAAGGCUGAAGUAAAAAGCUUUAGUGGUGUAUCUGACGGGCAGGUUGGGACGGUUACAAGACCAUCCGUCAUGAUCAGGAACAAUAAACAGCCACUCCGAGGCUAGUGGAAAAUCACUACUGGUGGCAGAGAGAGGGAGAAGUUAAGCCACCACUUCUCACCUUCCCUCAGUGGUAGAGGUGAAUGAGAGAUCUGUGUUUGUAGAGAGCGAGGAUAAAACUAACCAGCUGGCAUCCUGGCAGACUCCUUAACCUCAGCUGUUUUUAGGACAAAAAGAGCAACACAAGAGCUGGCUGCCUGCCAUAUCUCACCUAAACAGCUUCCGACUGGCUGGUAGUGCUGCACACCAUCACACCAGAUGAUCUGACAGUAGCUGCUUGCAUCUCAGCCCACCUGACAGACAUUUCCGACUGGAUGAAGGACCACCACCUUCAGCUCAACCUUGCAAAGACAGCUUGCUUGUGAUCUCAGCCAUCCCAACACUUCAUCACAGUUUCUCCAUUCAGCUAGAAACUGUCACUGGCCGGAUGGGAAGGAUGUCAUAACAAGAGGAGGUGGAGAGAAGGCACCUGCAGACCUUUCAUUAUCCAUCCACAGUGUAGCUCUGGAUUCAGAGUCACGGCAGUGCCUCCUCUGUGUGCUCCCUUAGCCGUCAGAAAGUCUUACCGCCCUCCUUCACUUUUCAAACAACCCACAGGUCCUCGGCUUCACAAAGGACCCCGUGGAUGGAGCGUGACAGCCCCCGCAAAACUGUCUCCCUCAUUCUAGCUACAGACAGGAAAACAACUCGGAGAUGGUGUUCAUAGCACUGAGUGAAUCAUACGUGUCAAAUGUAAGCAGAGAUGACAGAUUUAUGUGAUAUAAACUCUGGAAAAGUUUGUAUUACAGUGUCAAAUUCACACAUAAUUAAUGAUGAAAUGCAUCAAUGAUAUUGUCCAAAUGAAGAUUCUGCUAAAUAAAUAUAUUUUAAAGUUAAUGAGACAACACAUUAACAUAUAUAUAUAUAUAUAUAUUAUAUAUAUAACUGUUAGUUCCUGUCCUUGAAUCUGAUUGGCCAAUAGCUGUGUUUUAUUCACGAUAAAGCACGGCUAUGACCUGCUUCACCCAACGGUUCAGUGUAUCACUACACCCUUAGCAACCACUCUUAGCAAUGUAAACUGUUUGUUCUCAAUUGAUAUUGUUUAUUGAAGCUUACUGUAUUAUGUAGAAGAAUAUUGUGAGAAAGAGAUUGAGUGAGCGAAUUUAUUACCUGCAUUCAGAUUUAACAUUUUCCUUCAGGUCAGUCCUAUGUUCAUAAUAAAAAAUCUGUUUAUA